rnacentral:rRNA from 1 species
GAAGGACGCAUUUAUUAGGACAAAACCAAUCGGGCUUGCCCGCUAUUUGGUGAAUCUGAAUAACUAUGCCGAUCGCACAGUCCUCGAACUGGCGACGUAUCUUUCAAAUGUCUGCCUUAUCAACUUUCGAUGGUAGUUUACACGGCUACCAUGGUUUUAACGGGUAACGGAGAAUUAGGGUUCGACUCCGGAGAGGGAGCCUGAGAAACGGCUACCACAUC